AUGGGCAAGUGGGUCUCUAAGGCAGGUUGUCCAGGAGGAGGGUGCGGGUCCUUGGCAAGCUGCCCGGGGGGCAGGACUGGAACUGCCCUUCAUGGGUUUCAGAUCCCUUCCUUAGGUAGCGCCUCUUCGCAGCAGGAUGCUUGGCACCUGACGCGCCCUACCCCCAUCCCCCAAUUAGGAUGUGAAACUAAAACACGUGGAAAAGGAAGAGCCCAAGCUGAUUUCCCGUUUAUGAAACAAGUUCUUCCCUGGGAGAUCUUUUCAAAAAGUUCAGACGUCCCUGAGGUGACCUGGUGGGAUGGUCCGUGGAACCGGCCCCAGGAUGCUCCCCGGCUGUGGAUGACCGAGCCGCCAGCCCCCUACGGAUGCUGCGCCCCAGUCUUCUGACCCGGGGAUCCCGCCCGGUGCGGGCCUGAGCUUCCGAGCAGCCACGGCGCAGGGACCCGGGGGAAGGGGCUCGGCGCCGGCGGGAAACAUUCUCCCCCAGCGACUCGGCAAGAUGACCAGCCUG
rnacentral:lncRNA from 1 species